ACGCCCACAUCAGGAGCAAACAUCGUUUCCCAUAGGAUCAGAGAACUUUAGCAACGUUGAGCCGGGUCAGUACCUAGAUGGGUGACCGCCUGGGAAUAUUAGAUGGUGUAA